rnacentral:lncRNA from 1 species
GGCGGAUUGCUAGGACGGCUACUAGCUAGCACCGAUAAAGGUGCGUUUUGAAGACUCGGGAAGGCGGCUACUAGCUAGGGCAGCGAUAAUAGUUCCUUCCGCAGACUCAGGAAGGCCGCUUGUUAGACGCGCUUGGCAAGCAAUUGCUGUAGGACUGGCCGUUUACCGGCUUACAGAUCUGCUGGUCCGGGUUCAAAGCUCUUGGCGUGAUCGGGGGGUCUUGUUCUAAAAACAGCCGGCGGUUUGUCUCCGAGUCCGGCAAGAACUCCUCCUCCAGAAACCCCCUCUCGAUCUCAGAAACAAAUUGAAACUCUAUCUCCUCCCCUGCUUCGCAAUGGAUAUCAGUUCCGUUGCAUGCGGAGCCUCGGUAAACAGCAGCAGGGGCAGCCACAGCGGAGUGUGCUGAAAGCACAGCAUUGCUGAAAAGAAAUGCACCAAAGAGAAGAGUGAGAUCUCUCAAUCUCUUCAUCUCCAUCUGCUUUUCCACUCCUCUCCUUGUUCACCUUACCGUUGCUUUAAAAGGAUGCCUUUGAUGUAGAUGGCAGGCCCACCUUAACGCUUCCAUCUGCUCUUUCAUGUAGAUGGCAGGCCCACCUUCACGUGUCCAUCUGCUUUUCCGCUCCUCUCCUUGUUCACCUGGGAUGAUCGAAGAGAAUAAGUUUAACACGCCCAGCCAUCUAGGUUGUUCGAUCAAUUUAUAGUGGAGGAUAGAAAAUAUGGAGGGCAGAGGAGGUAAGUAAGAAAGGA